GAUGAACGCUGGCGGCGUGCCUAAUACAUGCAAGUCGAGCGAACGGACGAGAAGCUUGCUACUCUGAUGUUAGCGGCGGACGGGUGAGUAACACGUGGAUAACCUACCUAUAAGACUGGGAUAACUUAGGGAAACCGUAGCUAAUACCGGACAAUAUUUUGAACCGCAUGGUUCAAAAGUGAAAGACGGUCUUGCUGUCACUUAUAGAUGGAUCCGCGCUGCAUUAGCUAGUUGGUAAGGUAACGGCUUACCAAGGCAACGAUGCAUAGCCGACCUGGGAGGGGGAACGGCCACACUGGGACUGAGACACGGUCCUGAGUCCGACGGGAGGCAGCAGUAGGGAAUCUUGCGCGAUGGGCGGAAGCCUGACGGAUCAACGCCGCGUGAGUGAUGAAGGGCUUCGGAUCGGAAAACGCUGUUAGUAGGGAAGAACAUAUGUGUAAGUAACUGUGCACAUCGUGACGGUACCUAAUCAGAAAGCCACGGCUAACUACGUG
rnacentral:rRNA from 1 species